UACGUAGGGACCAAGCGUUGUUCGGAUUUACUGGGCGUAAAGGGCGCGUAGGCGGCGUGUCAAGUCAUUUGUGAAAUCUCCGAGCUUAACUCGGAACGGUCAAAUGAUACUGAUGUGCUAGAGUGCAGAAGGGGCAAUCGGAAUUCUUGGUGUAGCGGUGAAAUGCGUAGAUAUCAAGAGGAACACCUGAGGUGAAGACGGGUUGCUGGGCUGACACUGACGCUGAGGCGCGAAAGCUAGGGUAGCAAACAGG
rnacentral:rRNA from 1 species